rnacentral:rRNA from 1 species
UAUUGGACAAUGGGGGGAACCCUUAUCCAGCCAUGCCGCGUGUGUGAAGAAGGCCCUAUGGUUGUAAAGCACUUUAAGCGAGGAGGAGGCUACUUUAGUUAAUACCUAUAGAUAGUGGACGUUACUCGCAGAAUAAGCACCGGCUAACUCUGUGCCAGCAGCCGCGGUAAUACAGAGGGUGCGAGCGUUAAUCAGAUUUACUGGGCGUAAAGCGUGCGUAGGCGGCUUAUUAAGUCGGAUGUGAAAUCCCCGAGCUUAACUUGGGAAUUGCAUUCGAUACUGGUGAGCUAGAGUAUGGGAGAGGAUGGUAGAAUUCCAGGUGUAGCGGUGAAAUGCGUAGAGAUCUGGAGGAAUACCGAUGGCGAAGGCAGCCAUCUGGCCUAAUACUGACGCUGAGGUACGAAAGCAUGGGGAGCAAACAGG